ACAUAUCCAUAUUAAAUAUAUUAAAUAUAUGUUCAAUAUUGUUUCCGAAUCGAAUUCUAAAUUGAAAAUUCAUUUAUAAGUGUUAAAAUUCAUUGAUGUGAAAUGAUGAGAAUCAUCGAUGCUUCUUAUUUAUUGUGAUGAAUCUAUAUAUCUAUAUAAAAUUCCAUUUGCACGUUGCACUUUGGUUAAAAUUGUUGACGGUAGCGAUAAAUUGGCAUGUAGCUUAUCUUUCGUUAUCUGUUAUUUAUCCUUUUUUAGAGGUCCGCAUGCUUUGUGGCGCUGAUAAAUUGUUUCAACUGGGUCAUACGUUCGCUACGGUUCGUUUUUGUCUUUUCAUUUAUCCGUGGAAUUUCUACCGUGCCAGUUGUUCCAAAUUUAUCGAAUUCUCCGCGGUAUUUAACGCGAGAAAAUUGAAAGGCGAGCCGCACACGGUCAACUAUCACUGCAUUUUUUCGUGUGAUUAAAUUCCCAUUAUGAUGCAACUUCACAAUAUACACACGUUUCUGUAUAAUAUUAGAAGAAUAAUUAUCUAAACUGAAAUAGCAUCAUAAUCUUCGAUCAGCUGCAGAAAGAAUUCUCCAGGUUUUAUUCUACGUUCAAUCUGCAACAACGAAGAAAUCGUUCAUCCUUCUCUCCUUUUUUACAAAGAACUCAAGAAAUUUUUCACACACCAAUUAAUCGAUAUGAUGGUUUUCAUCCAAAGACAAACCGAUUGUUGCAUUUAAUUAUGAGAAAAGACAAACAUGCUUGUUUGUUAUUAUCGACUUGUAUAAGGGAUGCAGCAUGUUGCACGUUAUGGUAUAAUUAGCACGCGACGUUGUACACAUAUUCUAAUGUGUACAAUGUGCUUCUUGGAGUGUGGUUUUAACGUCCAACGUUGGUUCACCGGUUUACUUAAUUUUCGUACUGCGAAAAUUUGUCCAAAAGAUGUCCAAUGAAUUGAGAUUUAUCUGAGAAUAUCUAGAAGCGAUAGAAACGUAGAGACAAAUCGUGGUAUACCCUCGUUAAGCUUCGUGGCCACUUUGAACGGUGUUGAUCUUCUCCACGCAAGCUGGUCAUCUCUACAGCCUGUGCCAGGCACAUUGUCGACAUGUCGUUACUCGGCUCCUGGUCACCACGUGGAUUUUAUGCGAUUUUACUCACACAAUUACCGCACAGCACUCCAGAAAUCUGUGGUUUUUGUGGUCGAUCGUUAGGACUACCGGCCACUUGUUCGUGUAAUUAAUUUGAUUACAAUUUAUAUUCUUGCGCUUUUUUUUUUUUUUGGUUCUACUUUUCUCCGAUUUAUUAAACUAUCUGUAAGUAAACACUUAAUUAUAAUACUGAUCUGUUUACAAAUACUACAAUAUAUUUUGAUUUCUCUAAUUUAUAUUAUCAUAAUGUUUCAUGUUACAUUAAUAAUAUCAUUGUACAUACAGUUUACAACGAAGUAUGUUCAAUGAAUUCUUCAUCCUGAAUGUAUCAUAUUUAUUAAUUAUUUCGUAUUUCACUAAUUUAAAUGUCAUGAAUAUUGAUUGAUUGCUUGAUAAAUGUUAAUGAAAUUAAUUAAGUGACAAAUGUGAUAAAAAGAUAAUAUUUAAAUAUUUUGUAUCUAUCUAUUAAAUAUCUAAUAAAUAUCUAUUUGAUUUUCUGAG